rnacentral:rRNA from 1 species
UACGGGGGGGGCAAGCGUUGUUCGGAUUUACUGGGCGUAAAGGGCGCGUAGGCGGCUUUAUAAGUUACUUGUGAAAUCUUGAAGCUCAACUUCAAGCGGCCAAGUGAUACUGUAGAGCUAGAGUGCGGAAGGGGCAACUGGAAUUCUUGGUGUAGCGGUGAAAUGCGUAGAUAUCAAGAGGAACACCUGAGGCGAAGGCGGGUUGCUGGGCCGACACUGACGCUGAGGCGCAAAAGCUAGGGGAGCAAACAGG